rnacentral:misc_RNA from 1 species
CAUUCUGAAGCUAAAACCCUACUCGAACUUAAUCGCGGUAUCGUCACUGGCCGUUUGCAGCAACAACAAUGGCGAUAUCAAAACCUUCAACUUCAAAGCCCUCAAACGAAAAAACCACCAAGAAAAACGACAUGGAGCUCUUGAAAUCUGAGGUGGCCACUUUUGCUUCCUCUCUCGGCCUCUCUUCUUCUUCUCUCCCUUCCUCCUCUGGUUUCAAUGAUGCCGAUUUUCGAAAAUCGGGUCCUUUGAAGAAACCAAAAUCCUCAAAGCAAAAAACCCAACUCGAUAAAACCCUGGAAAGUAACGAAAGCGAAGGCUCUCCCAAGACCCAAUUCGAUAAGAGCUCAGAGAAGGUCAGGAAUUUCAAAAACAAGGAUAAUAAGUCUCACAAAAAUGAGAAGAAAUCUCAGUUUGACCAAAAACCCAAGAAAAAUCCAUUACCAAAGCCUCCAGUUUUGUCACUUGAUGAUAAUAACAAAAGCAACAGCAGCACAAGAGCAUUUGACAAGUACAAGAACCUGCCAAAACUACCUUUAGUGAAGGCUAGUGCAUUGGGAGUGUGGCAUGAGGAUGCAAUGGAGUUUGAGAAGAAAGUGUUGGGUGAAGGGAAGAGCAAGUUGGAGUUGAAGAUGGGUGUGGAGGAGUGGAAGGGUGUGGUGGAGAAGAAGAAAGAAUUAGGAGAAAGGCUUAUGUGGCAGUAUGCGCAAGAUUACGAGCAAAGUACAGGGCAGACUGGGGAUAUUAAGAUGCUGGUAACUACUCAGAGGUCUGGCACAGCUGCUGAUAAGGUGUCUGCUUUUUCUGUGCUUGUUGGGGAUAAUCCCAUUGCCAAUUUGAGAUCACUUGAUGCACUUAUAGGAAUGGUAACAUCAAAAGUGGGAAAGCGCCAUGCUCUUACGGGAUUUGAAGCAUUAAAAGAACUUUUUGUCUCUAGUUUAUUGCCUGAUCGCAAGCUGAAGACCCUUUUGCAGCGGCCAGUAAAUAGUCUUCCUGAGAUAAAAGAUGGUUAUUCUCUUCUACUUUUCUGGUAUUGGGAGGAUUGCUUGAAGCAGAGGUAUGAACGUUUUGUUUUUGCACUUGAAGAAGCAUCAAGAGAUAUGCUACCCGUACUAAAAGAUAAGGCAUUGAAGAUCAUGUAUGCUCUGUUGAAAAGCAAAUCAGAGCAGGAGCGCAGAUUGCUUUCUGCCCUAGUUAACAAACUAGGUGAUCCUCAAAAUAGGGGUGCAUCCAAUGCUGACUUUCACUUGUCAAACCUUUUAUCUGACCACCCAAAUAUGAAGGCUGUGGUGAUUGAUGAAAUGGACUCUUUUCUGUUUCGACCUCAUUUAGGACUAAGAGCAAAAUACCAUGCUAUUCGCCUGAGUCAUGAAGGAGAUGGACCAAAGGUUGCAAAACAUUUAGUUGAUGUGUACUUUGCCCUAUUCAAGGUGCUGAUUUCUGAGGCUGAAAGCAGUCAAAAGAUGGAUAAAGUUGGCAAAGCAAAGGAUAGAAAUACUUCUAAUCCUGUCAAGCAGAACAAAGGGGAAAGUUCAUCAGAAUCUCAUGUUGAAUUGGAUUCACGAAUUCUGUCAGCUCUUUUAACAGUCAGUAUGAGAAUCUCUUUUUCAAAAUGAAAGUUAUGGGUGUUAAUAGAGCAUUUCCUUAUGUUUCUAGCACUGAGGCUGAUGACAUUAUUGAGGUCCAAACACCAAUGCUCUUCCGAUUGGUAAGGCUACAGUUAUUUGUUAUUUGGGUUGAAAAAUAAUUUUGUGUUAGGCAGCUAUUUAUCGAUGGGGCUUAACAUGGCUAUGGAGCGUUGCCGACAACAUUUAAAUUGACUGUACAGGUUCAUUCAAAGAAUUUUAAUGUAGGAGUUCAGGCAUUGAUGCUUCUUCAUAAAAUCUCAUCCAAGAACCAGAUUGUUAGUGACCAGUUUUACCGUGCUUUAUACUCAAAACUUUUAUUUCCAGCUGCCAUGAAUUCUUCCAUGGCAAGUCUAACAGGGUACAUGCUUUUAGCUUGGUGAUAAUGUGACUUUGCCCAUGCUUGACAAUUGUUUAUGUCUUUUGCAAAUAACCAGUUUGUUUUCUUUUUCUAGAAAUUGAAUUAUUCCAAAAUUUUCUCUUUAGCAGUGUAACUCUAAUAUCAUGGUACAUAUGUUUUGAAGAGAAAAAGAAAAAUCAGUUCACAUCAUUUUAGGGUUUUGCAACUCUUUUGCUAACAUUUAAACUUUCAGAUGGGCUUAUUCUAUACGUAUGGGUGAGAUCAUUUUUCCCCAUUUAUGUUUAUGCAAUUCAAGAUAUGCUAAGCUUUGUAGCAUGCCAGAAAAUUGGGUGAUAUUGACGAUGCUUUUUAAUUUUUUUUUCUGCAUUGAUCUUUCGUCCUAGCAUGGAAUAGGACAGAUUUCUGUCCCCUUCUGGCUUCUUUUUGUCCAAGACAGUUCAUUUAUUCAGAAAUGUAGAUGAUCUGGGGAUCAGAGAAUUUGGUAUCUGGCAUGAUUUCUUCCUGUUUUAAAUUUCACUUCCAACUUUUAUUGCACUAUAAUAUUUUUUUCUUGAUUCCUUUAAAGGUAUAAGGUGGCUUGAAGUGCAGCAUUGCACUACAUUGACAUCCUCACUCUAACUUCCUUUUCUUGCUGUGAAUUUUGAUAAAAUGUGCAGUUUCUUAGUGUAUUGUCUACAAUGAUCUGUUGUAAAGGCAUAAUUUCAAUUUUGCAAUCAUCUGAACAAAGUCUGUCAUUUACUCACUUGACUACAUCUCCCUUGUAUAUGGUUUAUUUUCAGCUGGAAAUGUUUAUUGGACUCCUCUUGAGGGCAAUGAAAAAUGAUGUAAAUUUGAAGUGUGUGUCUGCCUUCUCAAAGCGACUACUUCAGGUUAGUAUCUUGUAUGCUUGUUGUACUAUGUCAUUUCUUUAGUAAAUGAUAUGAAAUGAAAGCCUGUUUCUUUUUGGUUAGCUGAGAAAUUUUUCUGUUUAAAACGAGUAGUAAUGAUGCCUGAAUAUGUCAGGGCAAUAUGCUUGAAAUGUCAGCUAUUUCUUUGAUGCGGUUCCCUCUUCACCAUGAUAGUGUAAUAUAUGGUUAUUCACAUUUUAUAUUUCAAUUGAUUGCACAAACUCUUUUCUUCCCUAUUGGAAAAGACAUUCUAAAUGAAAAAAAUCAGUCAUUAGAAUUUCAUAUUGGGUGUUUUUGAGGUGGC